rnacentral:lncRNA from 1 species
CCCCCUGAGAACCCUAGCAUCCUCACAUCUCUCCCCUCGCCUCUCUCUCUCCCUCACAGUACCCCCUUUCCCACCGCGCUGCAGCCGCCAUGACCAUCACCAUCGUCGCGGCCGACGACCUCCCCGGCGCCUGAGAAUACAUCCAGGGGCUCCACCGUCGUCGUCUUCUUCACCCUCGACAAAGGGGUCGAGCUAGGAGGCCCCGUUCGCCCGCCAUCUCCAUCGUCUUCCUCGCGUACACCGUCGUCCGACGCCAGAUGCCGACGCUCCCGGCCAUCCCCGACCUCCUCAAGCUCGCCCACGGCCUCAAAGUGAGCUCCUCUUCCGAUUCCCAACCUUUCCCCUUUGAUUUGUCGCCGUUUGUCGUCGUCCCUGAGCUCGGUCGUCCUCGUCCAUGGCCGCCUUUGAGCUUCCGAGCAUGCGCACGCGCCUGCCUGCUCCUGUCGAUGGCCGCGCCCUGGUUGCAUCGUGCGCGCACCCACGCUGCUGCUCCCCUGCGCCUGCACGCGUGUCCGCGCUCCCACGGCCCUGCCUGCAGUUUUUCUUGCUACUGCGUGGCUCCGCUGCUCCCUGUCGCCACUGCUGUUGCGCUAGUGCUGCUGCUUGCUGCUUCCUGGCGCAACGGGUCUGCUCCUCGCUCCUACUGAUGUUCAUGCUAGCCGCUGCCUUAUUGAUGCGUUUUUGCUGCUGCUACUGAUGGCAAUGGCCGUCGUGGCUUGGUGUGCCCAUGCCUACCACAGCCGUGGCACAUCCACUGGAUGUGAGGCCGGCCCUUGCUUAGUCAGAUUAGUUUAGCUUAGGAUUAAAUUGUUAAUUACUUAGUGCAUAGAAAAUGACAUGUGGGACCACAUCGAUUAAUUAACAUUUUGUUAAACUAAAGUCAAUGACAAUUUGGACCCACAUACACUGUUCAUAUAUUGACCAGUUAAUCUUUGACUGGGUCAAACCAUGCCCACUAACCCCACUGGCAUACACUGUGGCUAGAAUAGUACUAGGUAAAAACGUAUAUUCUGUUUUUAAUUCGAAUUAAUAAUAAAUCUAAAAAACAUUAAAACUUUGAAAAAUCAUAUAAAAUAAUCCGUAACUCGGAUGAAAAUACUUUAUACAUGAAAGUUGCUCGGAACGACGAGACGAAUCCAAAUACGCGGCCCGUUUGUCAGCCAUCCGUCCCUAGCAUAGCGAACAUGUAACUUUUCCCAUUCAAUUCAUAUGUCUGAAAACGCGAAACACUGGGGAUAUUUUCCCGCUUCACCGGUAUCACCUAGUACUGUGUGAGGUCACCUCUAGCACCACGCAUUGCCACAUUACGUUUUGUGUUAUUUUGAUUGCUCUGUUAUUUAUUGUAUUCCCCCUCCGUUACUUCUUUCCGGUAGACCCCGAGACUGUCGGCGACCCCCAGUUCGACUACGGUGUUGACGACCCCUCUCUCUUGCCAAAGCAACCAGGCAAGCCCCCCCCCCUUGAUCAGCAGAUAUCGCCUACUCUACUCUCUAUACUGCUUGCAUUAGAAUAGUGUAGCAUGUUACUGCUUUCCGUUAAUCCUAUCCUGAUGCAUAGCCUGUCAUUGUUGCUACAACUGUUGAUACCUUACCUGCAAUCCUAAAUGCUUAUAGGAUGCUAGUCUACCAUCAGUGGCCUUACAUUCUUGUCCGUCUGCCAUGCUAUACUAUUGGGCCGUGAUCACUCGGGAGUUGAUCACGGGUAUAUACUUAUAUACAUAAUAUAUGAUACUUGUGGUGACUAAAGACGGGUCGGCUCGUAGGAGUACCCGCGAGUGAUCCACGGAUUGGGUCCGAAAGGACGUUUGUCCCGACGGCCCUCUGAGUGGAUCUUUGUGGCGAAGCGACAUGGCAGGUUGAGACCACCUAGGAGAGAGGUGAGCCUGGCCCUGGUUGGCGUUCGCGGUUAUUUCAAAAUAACACGUUUAACGAGAUCUUGGUAUUUGAACUGAGUCUGGCUACUGGCCUAUACGCACUAACCAUCUACACGGGGACAGUUAUGGGCACUUGACGUCGUGGUAUCAGCCGAAGCCUUCGUGACGUCAGCGACUGAGCGGCGCGCGCCGGAUUGGAACGUAUGCCUGCUCUUGUAUUAAGGGGCUAGUUCUGCCUCCGGCCACCCUCACAACGUGCAGGUGUGCAAUGGGCGAUGGGUCCAAACCCCUGCGCCAUAGGAUUUAGACCGGCAUGCUGACCUCUCUGUUGUGCCUUGGUAGGUAUGCGACGUGUUGAUCUUCCGAGGCCGGGCAUGACCCAGGAAAGUGUGCUGGCCAAAUGGGAUCGAGCGUGUUGUGUUAUGUGGUGCACCCUUGCAGGGAAGUUAAUCUAUUCGAAUAGCCGCGAUCUUCGGUAACAGGACGACUUGGAGUUGUACCUUGACCCUAUGAUAACUAGAACCGGAUAUUUAAUAAAACACACCCUUCCAAGUACCAGAUACAACCGAUGGUCGCUCUCUCACAGGCCGACGAGGGGAGGAUCAUCGGUUAGGUUUAUGCUAUGCGAUGCUACUUGGUGAACUUACCAUCUACUCUUUUCUCCUGCUGUAAGAUGGAGGUUACCAGAAGCGUAGUCUUCAAUAGGACUAGCUAUCCCCCUCUUAUUCUGGCAUUCUGCAGUUCAGUCCACAUAUGAUACCCUUAAUCCCUUUGAUACAAAUUCAUACAUAUGUAGUGUAGCUCCUUGCUUGCGAGUAUUUUGGAUGAGUACUCAUGGUUGCUUUGAUCCCUCUUUUCCCCCUUUCUAUACCCGAUUGCUGUGACCAGACGUUGGAGCCCAGGAGCCAGACGCCACCGUCG